rfam:Gossypium hirsutum cultivar TM-1 chromosome 21, whole genome shotgun sequence
UGUUAAAAAAAUUCAUCCAUUUGUGUUGCUAAAAACUAAUAUGGUUGACAAAAUAAUCAAAUAAUGACACGUGGCAUGCCACUUGUACAUCACGUUGAUAUGCAUAAACCAAUUUUUAAAAGUAAAAAUAAAUGAAAUUUUUAACA